rnacentral:rRNA from 1 species
AGGACGAACGCUGGCGGCGUGCUUAACACAUGCAAGUCGAACGGAUCGGUUCCUUCGGGGGCUGGUUAGUGGCGAACGGGUGAGUAACACGUGGGUGACCUGCCUCAGACUCUGGGAUAACUCCGGGAAACCGGGGCUAAUACCGGAUAGUACCUGUCCCUGCAUGGGGGUGGGUGGAAAGUUUUUUCGGUCUGGGAUGGGCCCGCGGCCUAUCAGCUUGUUGGUGGGGUGAUGGCCUACCAAGGCGGUGACGGGUAG